UCGGAUAUGAUCAUAAAUUAUGUCAUCACAACUUCAAAUUUUACAGCUUUAGCAAUCCGUUCUCCCAUCCACAAAUUAUGUCAUGACUGUUUUAAAUUAUGUCAAACUGUCUCUUGUCCAUGUGUACAACUACGCUUUAUUGUACGCAUGUAGACAACACCGGGGCACACUUCCAUCAAGUUUCACAUUACAAAAGCAUAAAAUUCAAAACCCCAACUUAAAAUAUACAUAUACAUAGACUGAUUCAAUUUCCACAAUCAUCAGCCCCUACUUGUAUACAAUUUUUCUUUAAUGUCCAUGACUACAACUACCUCUCUUUGUACACAUGUACACAUAAACCGUUCAAAGAUAGGACAUAAAAUGAGUUCAGAAGCUUUUCUCAUUUUGUACGCAUGUACGCAACUACCCUUUUUGUUUUUAGCCUAAACAGGUUGACAAAGCACAAGCCCAGAAGCUUCUCCAUCUCUUAUGUCCUUUCAAGCACACCCCUUACCAUAAGAAGAUACUCCAACAAUGAAUUACAAUUGUGCCUUUUGCUUGGGUAUAUGUCUGUCGCAAACAACCGUGACUGCUCCUUCAUGUGGUUCCGCUAUCUCUGAAAGACACAAGCAACACAAGAGAGUAUUAGAAAUCUCAAUAAUCUGAACCAUAAACCAGGGAACCCAAAUCACUUCCCCUACACAGAAACCCUAGAUCGGAAUUCUACACCAAAAUACGAAAUCCAACACCUGUAAGCCCCUGAAACACAAUAAGAACUAAGAUAAUGGAGAUAUUGCAGCCCCCUUAGGAAUACAUCCACAAAUCCACCCAGAAAAACCCAACGAGUUGGGGAUACACGCGUGUACACAUGUACACAAUUGCAGCCCCCUCACUUCCCCUCACGAAUAUAUCCACAAAUUGUACAUAUACACGCGUGUACACAUAUACACUAUGUUGGUUGUUCAUAUGUACACACUUGUUAGUGUACACCCCACCACAUUUUUUUCAAAACACCAAAACUAGCAACAAGCUUCGACCUUUUCCCCCAUUGCAUUAUCAUCAUAGAAAUCUCAAAUCCGAAACCACAAUCCCAGAAUUAAAAUCACAGAAUUGAAACCCUAAUCCCCAAACUUUGAAAAGUAUAACCUCACAUCGAGGGUCUUGGGUAAAAUCUCAAAAUACACCCUUAAUCUCAAAAUCAAAAUUCCAAAUCCAAAUCCCUAAUCUAAAAAUCGAAAUCCCAGAAUCGAAAUCCCAAAAUCGAAACCCUAAUCCCCAAACAGAUCUUACCUUUCGCUUUGCCCUUUGUAACUCUCCUCUUUCGCGAUGACAUCAUCUUCUCUGUCCAUGAGAAAUCUCAUUCGUCGCUCCGUCGAAAAUCGCGGUCUCUGUCUUCUCCCACGGCGUUUUAUUUUUUUUUUCACAGGUUUGUGCAAAACUAAAAACUCAAUUUUACAUCUGUUUCACGUCCACUACCUGAAACCUAAAAAAUUUAAAAUUUAAAUUCCCUAACCAGCCCAACUAGAAUAAAAAUGUCUAAUUACCCAAAUACCCACACUUAGUUUGCUUUAUGGAAGACAAACAUGUAUUCAACUACUAGAAAGUACC
rnacentral:lncRNA from 1 species